UAUGUAGGCAGCGAGCGUUGUUCGGAGUUACUGGGCGUAAAGAGUGCGUAGGCGGUGCUCCAAGUCUGGUGUGAAAUCUCCCGGCUUAACCGGGAGGGUGCGCCGGAAACUGGGGUGCUGGAGUGUGGGAGAGGUAAGCGGAAUUCCCGGUGUAGCGGUGAGAUGCGUAGAUAUCGGGAGGAACACCUGCGGUGUAGACGGCUUACUGGACCAUAACUGACGCUGAGGCACGAAAGCGUGGGUAGCAAACAGG
rnacentral:rRNA from 1 species